UGCAGUCGACGAUGAUCCCUAGCUUGCUGGGGGGAUUAGUGGCGAACGGGUGAGUAACACGUGAGUAACCUGCCCUUGACUCUGGGAUAAGCCUGGGAAACUGGGUCUAAUACUGGAUAUGACCGACUAUCGCAUGGUGGUUGGUGGAAAGCUUUUGUGGUUUUGGAUGGACUCGCGGCCUAUCAGCUUGUUGGUGGGGUAAUGGCCUACCAAGGCGACGACGGGUAGCCGGCCUGAGAGGGUGGACGGCCACACUGGGACUGAGACACGGCCCAGACUCCUACGGGAGGCAGCAGUGGGGAAUAUUGCACAAUGGGCGCAAGCCUGAUGCAGCGACGCCGCGUGAGGGAUGAAGGCCUUCGGGUUGUAAACCUCUUUCAGUAGGGAAGAAGCGAAAGUGACGGUACCUGCAGAAGAAGCGCCGGCUAACUACGUGCCAGCAGCCGCGGUAAUACGUAGGGCGCAAGCGUUAUCCGGAAUUAUUGGGCGUAAAGAGCUCGUAGGCGGUUUGUCGCGUCUGCCGUGAAAGUCCGGGGCUUAACUCCGGAUCUGCGGUGGGUACGGGCAGACUUGAGUGAUGUAGGGGAGACUGGAAUUCCUGGUGUAGCGGUGAAAUGCGCAGAUAUCAGGAGGAACACCGAUGGCGAAGGCAGGUCUCUGGGCAUUAACUGACGCUGAGGAGCGAAAGCAUGGGGAGCGAACAGGAUUAGAUACCCUGGUAGUCCAUGCCGUAAACGUUGGGCACUAGGUGUGGGGGACAUUCCACGUUUUCCGCGCCGUAGCUAACGCAUUAAGUG
rnacentral:rRNA from 1 species